UAUGACAAUUAUCGGGUACUCCGCUGUGGGAUUGUUCAAAUGAUUACAAAACAUAACAUUGUAAUUAACAAAGACCUGUAGAAUGUAUACUGUAGGUCUUUGUAAUUUACAAUGUUAUGGUUUGUAAUCAUUUGAACGUAUUUUGAAAUACUUGCACGCAUGCGCAUUUAAGUAUGCUGCAUGCACAAAUAACGAAUCAGGCUUUAUAGACCGGGUACGUAACCAGCCGUUUGUCAUUGCAUAAACUUGUAUUAAAGAGGAAACAUGGUUGGAACUAAUACCUUCUUGUUUGCAUGCGCGCUGACCGCUCUUCUAUGUGCGGCGGAAACGAAUGCCCUUACGUGCUACACUUGUACCAACUGUAACGACCCAUUCUCGUCUAGCAACGUGGCAACAGAUACUACGUGUACCGCUUGCUCAAAGGUCAAGAUUGCAGACUGUAAGAAACUCUAGCUUGAUAUUAAUGCUUCUUUAUAUAUCCGACUGUGAUAAUAUCUUAUCAUUAUCGCACUUGGACGACAUGUAAAUAGCGAUUGAACUAUUUUACUCACGUUCUUUUGGUUUUCCAAAGCGCACAAGGUCGUCUGAUUUUAGAUGAAUUAAACAUAUUUUUUAACAGUUGCUUCGGAUGUCUCUUUACCACGUCAACUUCGGCCAAUCGUCUUCUUAACACAUCGUUAACAAAUCAUAAAUUGUUAUAAAACUGUUCUUUUAUGUUGAUUCCGGUUGAUUUGCGGUCUGGGCAUUGGUAUUGAGGUUAUUGCUUCAACCUUUUUUUCAGUUGUUGAAAGAGGCUGCACUGACGUAGGGUCAAGUGGCUGCACUGACGUAGAGUUAUUCGGCGUUAAAACUUCAACGUGUUUCUGUACCGAUGCUCUCUGCAAUGGUGGCAAUCACGUGACCAUAACCAUGGGAGCGAUGUUGCUCGGGACCGCUGUAGUGCUGCUGAAGGCCUUUUUUUAAACACAAAUGCAGUUUUGAGAACUUUAAAAUACAACAUACUGAAUACAAAGAUUUGAUGCCGAAAAAGAUUGUACUCAAACAUUUAUUUUUUCAACAUUGUUCAAACUAUACUUUAUUAUAAUAUGGUUGUAAAUAAAUUAUAUCAUCGAUACUAACCAUAAUAAAAUAUUUUUCAAAUUUU